CUAGCGACUCCGACUUCAUGGGGUCGAGUUGCAGACCCCAAUCCGAACUGAGACCGGUUUUUUGGGAUUCGCUCCACCUUACGGUUUCGCAGCCCAUUGUACCGGCCAUUGUAGCAUGCGUGAAGCCCAAGACAUAAGGGGCAUGAUGAUUUGACGUCAUCCCCACCUUCCUCCGAGUUGACCCCGGCAGUCUUCCAUGAGUCCCCACCAUUACGUGCUGGCAACAUAAAACGAGGGAUGCGCUCGUUGCGGGACUUAACCCAACAUCACACGACACGAGCUGACGACAACCAUGCACCACCUGUAUACCGACCAAAAAGGGGCACCCAUCUCUGGGUGUUACCGGUAUAUGUCAAGCCUUGGUAAGGUUCUUCGCGUUGCAUCGAAUUAAUCCGCAUGCUCCGCCGCUUGUGCGGGCCCCCGUCAAUUCCUUUGAGUUUUAGCCUUGCGGCCGUACUCCCCAGGCGGGGCGCUUAAUGCGUUAGCUGCGGCACGGAACUCGUGGAAUGAGUCCCACACCUAGCG
rnacentral:rRNA from 1 species